rnacentral:lncRNA from 1 species
ACAAAGAAGCUUUAAAUAAUAUAUUUUGCCAGCCCAUAAUUAAAAUUUGGAUUAGAUUAACCACAGAAACUGUUUUGCUCACAUAAUAAUAGCAGCAAAACAAUUUCACAAAAAUCAACUUUAGACUAAUUUUUUAUAUAUAUAAGGUGAAAAUUUUAAUAAAAACAGUAUCAAGCUGAUACUGUAAAAAAAAUCAACUUUAGACUAAUGAUGAAUACGUUAAUAAAUAGUUUCAUAUUAGGCCAAGUAGAGUCACUUAAAAAUUAAAAUCAAUCUAUCUGUCCAUUAAGAUCAGUUGGAUCGACUAUAUGAAUUACUUCAGCUCAGUAAGAAAAUUACUUGAUAUAAGUCUGGUAUUACUAGAAGUGAAAUAUGACUUUUGGCAUAUGCCAAGGCAAGAGCUCCCGCAAAUGCAGAUGUUAAGAACAAAUGUUUUGUCCAAUCAACAAUGAACAGUAGAGAAUGUAAAUUCAAGAAGAUCACACUUAAUUUGACAUCCAAGUGCCACUAACAUGGAGCUAAACAAGUAUGCUCAAUGCAAUUAACAAUAGAGAAUGUAAAUUCAAGAAGAUCACACUUAAUUUGGCAUCCAAGUGCCACUAACAUGGAGCUAAACAAGUAGAAACCCAGACAUACUGAAAAGAUGAAGGAAUUCACUAUAAGUCUCUACUGCAAAAAUAGAUCUCUCUUUUUUCCCGAAGUGGUCCACUGCAAACAUAGAUCACAGCAUAUAAGCAACUGAAUAGAGACUGAUGAUAUCAUGCAAAAUGGAGGUGUACCUAUUAUGGUUACAAUCCAACAGCACUACAAGAUCUUCAGUUCAACCUCACAAUCACGAAGAAACAAAUCAAACCACUUGAACAAUUCUAACUUCAAGUAAAUUGUACUCAUACACAUUUUACUGGUCUAAAGAUUGGAUCAAAACCACUAUUCAAACCAAGUCGG